rnacentral:rRNA from 1 species
UGUGAGCUCGAUGAGUAGGGCGGGACACGUGGUAUCCUGUCUGAAUAUGGGGGGACCAUCCUCCAAGGCUAAAUACUCCUGACUGACCGAUAGUGAACCAGUACCGUGAGGGAAAGGCGAAAAGAACCCCGGCGAGGGGAGUGAAAAAGAACCUGAAACCGUGUACGUACAAGCAGUGGGAGCACGCUUAGGCGUGUGACUGCGUACCUUUUGUAUAAUGGGUCAGCGACUUAUAUUCUGUAGCAAGGUUAACCGAAUAGGGGAGCCGAAGGGAAACCGAGUCUUAACUGGGCGUUAAGUUGCAGGGUAUAGACCCGAAACCCGGUGAUCUAGCCAUGGGCAGGUUGAAGGUUGGGUAACACUAACUGGAGGACCGAACCGACUAAUGUUGAAAAAUUAGCGGAUGACUUGUGGCUGGGGGUGAAAGGCCAAUCAAACCGGGAGAUAGCUGGUUCUCCCCGAAAGCUAUUUAGGUAGCGCCUCGUGAAUUCAUCUCCGGGGGUAGAGCACUGUUUCGGCAAGGGGGUCAUCCCGACUUACCAACCCGAUGCAAACUGCGAAUACCGGAGAAUGUUAUCACGGGAGACACACGGCGGGUGCUAACGUCCGUCGUGAAGAGGGAAACAACCCAGACCGCCAGCUAAGGUCCCAAAGUCAUGGUUAAGUGGGAAACGAUGUGGGAAGGCCCAGACAGCCAGGAUGUUGGCUUAGAAGCAGCCAUCAUUUAAAGAAAGCGUAAUAGCUCACUGGUCGAGUCGGCCUGCGCGGAAGAUGUAACGGGGCUAAACCAUGCACCGAAGCUGCGGCAGCGACGCUUAUGCGUUGUUGGGUAGGGGAGCGUUCUGUAAGCCUGCGAAGGUGUGCUGUGAGGCAUGCUGGAGGUAUCAGAAGUGCGAAUGCUGACAUAAGUAACGAUAAAGCGGGUGAAAAGCCCGCUCGCCGGAAGACCAAGGGUUCCUGUCCAACGUUAAUCGGGGCAGGGUGAGUCGACCCCUAAGGCGAGGCCGAAAGGCGUAGUCGAUGGGAAACAGGUUAAUAUUCCUGUACUUGGUGUUACUGCGAAGGGGGGACGGAGAAGGCUAUGUUGGCCGGGCGACGGUUGUCCCGGUUUAAGCGUGUAGGCUGGUUUUCCAGGCAAAUCCGGAAAAUCAAGGCUGAGGCGUGAUGACGAGGCACUACGGUGCUGAAGCAACAAAUGCCCUGCUUCCAGGAAAAGCCUCUAAGCAUCAGGUAACAUCAAAUCGUACCCCAAACCGACACAGGUGGUCAGGUAGAGAAUACCAAGGCGCUUGAGAGAACUCGGGUGAAGGAACUAGGCAAAAUGGUGCCGUAACUUCGGGAGAAGGCACGCUGAUAUGUAGGUGAAGUCCCUCGCGGAUGGAGCUGAAAUCAGUCGAAGAUACCAGCUGGCUGCAACUGUUUAUUAAAAACACAGCACUGUGCAAACACGAAAGUGGACGUAUACGGUGUGACGCCUGCCCGGUGCCGGAAGGUUAAUUGAUGGGGUCAGCGCAAGCGAAGCUCUUGAUCGAAGCCCCGGUAAACGGCGGCCGUAACUAUAACGGUCCUAAGGUAGCGAAAUUCCUUGUCGGGUAAGUUCCGACCUGCACGAAUGGCGUAAUGAUGGCCAGGCUGUCUCCACCCGAGACUCAGUGAAAUUGAACUCGCUGUGAAGAUGCAGUGUACCCGCGGCAAGACGGAAAGACCCCGUGAACCUUUACUAUAGCUUGACACUGAACAUUGAGCCUUGAUGUGUAGGAUAGGUGGGAGGCUUUGAAGUGUGGACGCCAGUCUGCAUGGAGCCGACCUUGAAAUACCACCCUUUAAUGUUUGAUGUUCUAACGUUGACCCGUAAUCCGGGUUGCGGACAGUGUCUGGUGGGUAGUUUGACUGGGGCGGUCUCCUCCUAAAGAGUAACGGAGGAGCACGAAGGUUGGCUAAUCCUGGUCGGACAUCAGGAGGUUAGUGCAAUGGCAUAAGCCAGCUUGACUGCGAGCGUGACGGCGCGAGCAGGUGCGAAAGCAGGUCAUAGUGAUCCGGUGGUUCUGAAUGGAAGGGCCAUCGCUCAACGGAUAAAAGGUACUCCGGGGAUAACAGGCUGAUACCGCCCAAGAGUUCAUAUCGACGGCGGUGUUUGGCACCUCGAUGUCGGCUCAUCACAUCCUGGGGCUGAAGUAGGUCCCAAGGGUAUGGCUGUUCGCCAUUUAAAGUGGUACGCGAGCUGGGUUUAGAACGUCGUGAGACAGUUCGGUCCCUAUCUGCCGUGGGCGCUGGAGAACUGAGGGGGGCUGCUCCUAGUACGAGAGGACCGGAGUGGACGCAUCACUGGUGUUCGGGUUGUCAUGCCAAUGGCACUGCCCGGUAGCUAAAUGCGGAAGAGAUAAGUGCUGAAAGCAUCUAAGCACGAAACUUGCCCCGAGAUGAGUUCUCCCUGACUCCUUGAGAGUCCUGAAGGAACGUUGAAGACGACGACGUUGAUAGGCCGGGUGUGUAAGCGCAGCGAUGCGUUGAGCUAACCGGUACUAAUGAACCGUGAGGCUUAACCUUACAACGCCGAAG